CCAAUAGCGUAUAUUAAAGUUGUUGCAGUUAAAAAGCUCGUAGUUGAAUUUCGGGAUCAAAUUGUCGGUCGUGCCUCGGUACGUACUGGCGUUAUUGGUUCCUCCCUUCUGAAGAACCGCGAUGUCAUUAAUUUGGUGUCGCGGGGAAUCAGGACUGUUACUUUGAAAAAAUUAGAGUGUUUAAAGCAGGCUCGCGCUUGAAUACAUUAGCAUGGAAUAAUGAAAUAGGACGUUUGAUUCUAUUUUGUUGGUUUCUAGGAUCGACGUAAUGAUUAAUAGGGAUAGUUGGGGACAUUAGUAUUCAAUUGUCAGAGGUGAAAUUCUUGGAUUUAUUGAAGACUAACUACUGCGAAAGCAUUUGCCAAGGAUGUUUUCAUUAAUCAAGAACGAAAGUUAGGGGAUCGAAGACGAUCAGAUACCGUCGUAGUCUUAACCAUAAACUAUGCCGACUAGGGAUCGGAUGAUGUUAAUUUUUUAAU
rnacentral:rRNA from 1 species